rnacentral:tRNA from 1 species
GUGAAUAUAGUUUAACACAAAACCUUAGGUUGUGGUCCUAAAAAUGAAGGCUUACAUCCUUCUAUUUACC